rnacentral:rRNA from 1 species
GACGAACGCUGGCGGCGUGCUUAACACAUGCAAGUCGAACGGUGAAGCUCCAGCUUGCUGGAGUGGAUCAGUGGCGAAAGGGUGAGUAACACGUGAGCAACCUGCCCCUGACUCUGGAAUAAGCGCUGGAAACGGCGUCUAAUACUGGAUACGAGAAGGGUCCGCAUGGGCACUUUCUGGAAAGUUUUUCGGUUGGGGAUGGGCUCGCGGCCUAUCAGCUUGUUGGUGAGGUAAUGGCUCACCAAGGCUACGACGGGUAGCCGGCCUGAGAGGGCGACCGGCCACACUGGGACUGAGACACGGCCCAGACUCCUACGGGAGGCAGCAGUGGGGAAUAUUGCACAAUGGGCGAAAGCCUGAUGCAGCGACGCCGCGUGAGGGAUGACGGCCUUCGGGUUGUAAACCUCUUUCAGCAGGGAAGAAGCGAAAGUGACGGUACCUGCAGAAGAAGCACCGGCUAACUACGUG